CAUGGCGGAUGCUUACACAUGGAAUAGGCACUUGCCGUCGAAAAUUUGAGUAAAAUCGGUCAAAUUUUGCCUGUGUUCGACGAAAACACGUUUCUAUGGUGGAGUCUAACAAGCACGCCCUAGUAAAUCAACUGAAAACUUUGAUUUCAAUUCGGAAAAGGCUCGAAUUUUUUCCAGCAAAGCAAGAGUCAAAAGAGAAGACUUGAAACUUUACUGAACAACUGACAGAGGUUUGGGAUCUUUCCCUGCUAGUUCCGGACUCGUGGCAAGCAUUAGAUUCCAUCCACCAAAACCACCUCGGUCGAGAGGGACUGAGAUGGAAUGAUGGACAACUCAUGACUUGUUAUACUAAAUGAAAAUUACGAAGCUACGACAACAUGCCGACUUAUCCCGAUGAUCUAAGUGUAUUAUUUGUUUGGGAAAUUGCGUCAAAACUUUUUACUCAAGAAAUGACAAUACUGAAACCUCCAUAGGUGUGUUUGCUUGUUUUGAGUGGGGAUGGAAGAAAAGGAAUCAUGCCGCAUAUCUGAUUUAUUAAACUAGAUUCGUUCUGUUUAUACAUAGGGAGAACUACCCUGUUCUCUGGAAAAAAUAAAAUU